AUGUACGGCAAUGUGUCUUUUAGUAGUGGCAAAUUACCCUUGGGAAAAAAACCUAGACAGUUCUCCUUUCAAGUCAAGCAGUAA
rnacentral:pre_miRNA from 1 species